rnacentral:tRNA from 1 species
GCCUGUGUAGCUCAGCGGCAGAGCACUCUCUUGAUAAGGGAUAGGUCGGUUGUUCGAAUCAACCCACUGGCACCA